rnacentral:rRNA from 1 species
CAAUAAGCGGAGGAGAAGAAACUAACCAGGAUUCCCCUAGUAGCGGCGAGCGAACCGGGAAGAGCCCAACUUGAAAAUCUCCGCCUUACAGGCGGCGAAUUGUAGUCUAGAGAUGUGCUCUCUGCGGCGGGCCACGCCCAAGUCCUCUGGAAGGAGGCGUCCGAGAGGGUGAGAACCCCGUCGGCCGUGGUCGCUGCCGCUUCACGAGGCGCUUUCGCAGAGUCGGGUUGUUUGGGAAUGCAGCCCAAAGCAGGUGGUAAGUCCCAUCUAAGGCUAAAUACUGACGGGAGACCGAUAGCGAACAAGUACCGUGAGGGAAAGAUGAAAAGAACUUUGAAAAGAGAGUUAAAAAGUGCUUGAAAUUGUUGGGGGGGAAGGGAUUGGAGGUCGCGGGUGCGCCCAGGCUGACGCCGGUACUUCACCGGCUGUAUGCGCUGGGUGCUGGUCAGCAUCGGUUAGCUCGGCGGGACAACCGCGGCCUUUGACCGGCCGCCUCUGUCGCCGUGGUGACCGAGGACGGAAGGGCGCCCCAGGCCUUCGGGACCUGCGCCCUCUGGAUGCUGGCGGAAGGCCUCCAAUCUGCCC